rnacentral:tRNA from 1 species
GGCUCAUUAGCUUAGUCGGUAAAACGGUCGUCUAGCAAACAAUAGUUGUUGGUUCAAAUCCUAUUUGAACCA